rnacentral:rRNA from 1 species
CAAAAACAUAGCCCUAGAAAAUAUCUAAGGUGUAACCUGCCCAGUGAUCUUUAAAUUAUGUAAGAGAAAAUCUUAUAAAUAAGUUUAAAAGGACGCGGUAACCUUGACCGUGAUAAUGUAGCAUAAUCACUCGCCAUUUAAUUGAUGGAUAGUAUGAAUGGUUGAACGAAUACUCCACUGUCUUAGAAAAAAAUUAAUAUAAAUUGAAAUAACAGUUAAGAUGCUGUUUUAAACUGUAAGACGAAAAGACCCUAUAGAGCUUAACUAUAGUUUCCCUACUUUUUAUAAGAGAAUAAUCAUUAAUCUAGGGAGAUUGGUAGUUUAGUUGGGGCGACUGUCUUUUAAAUACAACAAAGAUAAGCAAUAUUAAUAUUUAAUUUAUUGUAUAACUAAAAAGUUUAACAAUUAUUAUCGUAGGCUAUAUUGACCCGUUUUAUCUUUAUAAAAAGUAAAACGAUUAAUUAAUAAAAGCUACCUUAGGGAUAACAGGAUAAUUUUAUUUUAGAGUU